rnacentral:lncRNA from 1 species
UUUCUCUUUUCUUUUUCUUAAAUUAAAACAUAUAGAACUCAUCUGAACCAUGAAUCAUUUCAAAUCUAUUAUCCGCCAUUUCAAAAAAAAUAAUUUUAUUAACCAAUCUUUCAAUUUAUUUGAUUUGACAUCAAAAUUUAAGCUAAUUUCUCAAUUGCGAGAAUUAUAUAAAAUAUACUAACUAAAUCUGUAAAGAUAAAUAACACAUUCAAAUUUUAAAGUCAAAAAUAUUAUUAACUGACUUAAAUUAAAUAAAUUAAAAUAUUAGAUAAUUGAUUCAAAAUAAUUUAUAUUUCAGAUAAUUAAGUUCCGUAUAUUUUUACCUUUUUUCUUGAAUUUAC